AUGCAAUCUUAUGAUGAAAAACUUAAUUUGGAAGUUUCUAUACCUAGAAAACUUAAUGAUGAGUGGGAACCUACUAUAAAAAUUAGAAUUAAAGAUUAUGAGUGUUUUGCUUUGUGUGAUUUGGGUGCUAGUGUUUCCAUGAUUUCAAAAACUUUAUGUGAUAUUCUAGGUUUCCAUGAUCUUGAUGAUUGCUCUUUAAAUUUGCACCUUGCGGAUUCCACCAUUAAAAAUCCGAUGGGAAGAAUCAGUGAUGUCCUUAUUGUUGCAAAUAGAAAUUUGGUGCCCGUUGAUUUUAUCAUUCUUGAUAUAGAUUGCAAUCUUUCUUACCCUAUUAUUCUUGGUAGACCUUUCCUUAGAACGAUUGGCGCGAUUAUUGAUAUGAAGGAAGGGAAUAUUAGAUUCUAA
rnacentral:rRNA from 1 species